rnacentral:rRNA from 1 species
GCAAGGGGAUGAUCUAAGCAUGCGAGUCAUUGUAGCAAUACAAGGCAGACGGCUCAGUAACGCGUAGUCAACCUAACCUAUGGACGGGAAUAAUCUCGGGAAACUGAGAAUAAUGCCCGAUAGAACACUAUAUCUGGAAUGGUUUGUGUUCCAAAUGAUUUAUCGCCAUAGGAUGGGACUGCGGCCUAUCAGUUUGUUGGUGAGGUAAUGGCCCACCAAGACUAUUACAGGUACGGGCUCUGAGAGGAGUAGCCCGGAGAUGGGUACUGAGACACGGACCCAGGCCCUAUGGGGCGCAGCAGGCGAGAAAACUUUGCAAUGUGCGAAAGCACGACAAGGUUAAUCCGAGUGGUUUCUGCUAAAGGAACCUUUUGUCGGUCCUAGAAACACCGAUGAAUAAGGGGUGGGCAAGUUCUGGUGUCAGCCGCCGCGGUAAAACCAGCACCUCAAGUGGUCAGGAUGAUUAUUGGGCCUAAAGCAUCCGUAGCCGGCUCUGUAAGUUUUCGGUUAAAUCUGUACGCUUAACGUACAGGCUGCCGGGAAUACUGCAUAGCUAGGGAGUGGGAGAGGUAGACGGUACUCGGUAGGAAGGGGUAAAAUCCUUUGAUCUAUUGAUGACCACCUGUGGCGAAGGCGGUCUACCAGAACACGUCCGACGGUGAGGGAUGAAAGCUGGGGGAGCAAACCGGAUUAGAUACCCGGGUAGUCCCAGCUGUAAACUAUGCAAACUCAGUGAUGCAUUGGCUUGUGGCCAAUGCAGUGCUGCAGGGAAGCCGUUAAGUUUGCCGCCUGGGAAGUACGUACGCAAGUAUGAAACUUAAAGGAAUUGGCGGGGGAGCACCACAAGGGGUGAAGCCUGCGGUUCAAUUGGAGUCAACGCCGGGAAUC